rnacentral:misc_RNA from 1 species
UCCGGUUUGUCACCGGCAGUCCCAUUAGAGUGCUCAACUAAAUGUGGCAACUAAUGGCAAGGGUUGCGCUCGUUGCGGGACUUAACCCAACAUCUCACGACACGAGCUGACGACAACCAUGCAGCACCUCUGCUCGCUCCCUUGCGGGUCGGCCGCUGUUUCCAACAGCCUACCACGAGUAGUUCAAGCCCAGGUAAGGUUCUUCGCGUUGCGUCGAAUUAAACCACAUGCUCCACCGCUUGUGCGGGCCCCCGUCAAUUCCUUUGAGUUUUAGCCUUGCGGCCGUACUCCCCAGGCGGGGCACUUAAUGCGUUAGCUCCGGCACGGGAGGAGUCGACACCUCCCACACCUAGUGCCCAUCGUUUACGGCGUGGACUAC